CCCUCAAUCCAAUGGCCCAUAACCCGCCCCAAUUUUACAUAAUAAUGUCCGAAUAUUUCCAAACCCUAAGAGACAAACCCCUCCUUCCUUGUAUCUCUCUGUAACACCGUCGUAGCCGCCGCCGCCGGCGAACGUUACCUACUCCAAAUGACCCCAAAUUAACACCUCGUGAUCCUCUCCUCUCCCUCAUCUCAAACCUACAAACAGCUUCCUUCAAACCCCAGCCUAGCUAUUCGAAUGUCCCGUUUAAGUUUUCCUGCCACGAUGCUACUUCGUCCAAAUUCUGCCAAAUCAACACCAUAGAUUCUCCUCACCACCCUCAUCCCAAAGCACCGAUUGGUUUCCUUCGAACCUCACUACGUACAAUGCCUCGAAUUUGAAUUUUAAGUUUUUCGGCCAAACCCUUAAUUGGCCCAGGACGUUCAAAUCCGCACAAUAAGGUCUCCAGGCCUCCCUCAUGAGGAAUUCAUCAUCAAUAGGGCCCAGAUGUCACUAGAAAUGGCCAAGUUGAAGUUUAGAGUUCAGCCGGAUUUCGAGCUAUGGCAACGAGGUUUUGUUUGAUUUCAAUUCCACGUCUUAUUGUUGCUUAAUUAGAUUGCAAUUUACCUUGUCGUCUUAGUUUAGUUUAUUACCAGCAUAAUUUUUUUGGGAUAAUUACAUUACGCUUAAAGCUAGCUUGGGAAUUUAUUAAAUUUGUUAGAUAAAUUUGGAUGUUAUUUUGACCGAUUUCCAUUAGUUCACUGAUUUGUAAUUCAUUAUUUCAUUAGCUGAAUGCUUUAGAGAUUGUUAGUUAGCUAGAUAACCAUAGUUAGAAUUGUGCAGGGUUAGACUAACUUAGUAGUUUCAAAUAAGUUCAGGGGUAUUUCGGGUAAUCAGUAAGGUGCAGAAGUGUUGUAGAUCACACUUGAAAAUCCUAGAACCUUCUAGAUAGGGGUAUACUUAGAGUUUUAUGAAAUGGGAGGCCCUAAUUUGUGUAACAAGGCAAAAAGAGUAGGGGUUUAAAUAGAAAUAAAGUGGGGGACUGCUUGGCAAUUAAAAGUUUGAGACCCCCUUUGUUGUGCCUAUAAAAGGGAAACCAAAUGGCUUGUGUGGGGGAUCUUCUUUUCAGCGAUAAAAAUAAUAAUUCUCUAAAAAACAGCCUUUAUUUUCCAAUUUUGGAUCCAGCUUUAAAAUUUCAAAGUUUAGAAAUCCAAAAACAGAGGAAAACAAACAAAAAUCUUAAAAAAAAUAAAUCAAAAUGCAUUGUUACAUUAGACCUUAGGCAGAAUCGUCCAGUUAUGUUCUCUUCUGGUUGUUAAAGGAUCUUCUGAAGCUGUACUGUUGUUUUCAUCGGUUGGUUAUGGUUUAAUCAAGCUGGUUUUGAGUUGAUUUGGUAGGCUAGAGUUAUCUGCUGAGUUCAGUGUGAUUAAAUUUUGGUGUUGUGGUUGGAUUUGUGAUUUCUGUGUGGAUUUUCAAAGUACACUUGAAUUCCUGGACUUAAUCUGGACUGCUUGUGAAUUUCUCUAUCGCAUUUCUGCAGGUAAUCUCAGUUUCUGCCUCCUAUUUCAUUUUCCAGGUACACACCUUGACUUUGAUAGCUAUGAGAUGAAGCGUGAAGUGUAAACUUGUAGUUGAAGCAUGAAAUGCAAUUUGAUUCAGUUUGGAACUAUGUGUUUGAAUAUGUAGUCUGGUAAUGAUAGUUAAGUUUACAUUUGAAUUUAAUCUAGCUGGAUAGGAACUAGUAAUGUAAUAACAAACUGAAACCAUUUUUAUAUUGUUUCGGCCAACAGUCAUUCUGUUACAAAUGCUCGUGAAUUGUUUUUUUUUUGAGUUUUGAGUGUUAAUCAGGUUGAGGUUCAGCUCGUUCUUAUUAGAUUGUGUUCAUAAAUAGGUCUUAAAGGUAGCUCAAUGAUGAGGCCAGUCUUAAGUAGUUAGAUUUCAGUAUGGUAUGUAAUCAAGUGAAAUUGUUAAUUAGGAUUCUGGUUGAUCGUGAUUGGAAACGGAAUUUGAAUCAAAAUCGUUAUAGUUUGUUUUAGGAAUACUGUAAUUCAAACCUUUGUUUUAAUUUCCAGCAUCAGCGUUAUUUGGAAAGUAAAGUUCAACAGGUCAAUAUCUAUUUGAUUUGGGCUAAUUACGUUUGAAUUGCCCGUUAGUUUGUUGUUCUCCAGGCUCGAUCCUCUACCUAUUCUAUCUUAUUGAGUUCGCCUGGUUUGGGCUAAUUCCAGGCCCAAUGACCAUGGCUAUAUGAUACCUAGUCCAAAGGACAUGACGCCUCCUGGGCUCUUUGGGCCCAAAGCUAGAAUUUCUUUCUUAAUUUUCCGUUUGAAUGCAGGCCUGGAGUUUAUAAAACUACUUAAUUAGGAUUUUUCUUUUUUACUUUAGAGACAAAAUUUAAUAGAUAAUGGUAGUUUCUUUUAGGUCGGCUUUUAAAAUAAAAAUGAGACGAGCCUCACCAAAAAUUACGGGGCCCUCAAUAAAUGAUAUAUGAAAACACUUAGAAU
rnacentral:lncRNA from 1 species